GGGAAACCAAAAGAAAAACCAUGAGAGCUUAUGCUCAAAGUGGACAAUAUCAUGUCAUUGUGGAGGUUCGUGGUUUCUAAUAGAAAUUAGUGUAUCACACUGCACGUUCAAUGAUCCUGUGAACUCUUUUGAUACUGAAACCUUUUAGAAAACCAGUCUCAAAGGCGCAUGAGAGCAAUCUACGUAGGCGGUAAGCUACAUCAAUCUCUAAGUUCAAUCACAUAUUGUCUUUGUUUAGAUAGAAUAGAUGGAGGUUACGAUGACACUAUGCCUCUCAUUGUUCAAAGAUGUGACUGGUAGAUAUACAUGAAAAGUUGUUAAAAGAGUGUUUAGACUAUUAUAAUGUGACAAUUUUUAUUUUGAGCACUAUUGAUAAUUGAAUGCAUAUUGAACUGGAAAGUUUUUAGUUGAGUUCUCUCUACCCUACUGCUAACUCCAAGUUGCGUUAUAAUCAGCAGGACAUCUGAUAUCUAGUUGCACUUGGUGACACAUACAUAAGAUAUGAAUGAGGUUUUCAACUGAAUUUGCGUAUGAAAGCUUUUGAGAUCUUAUCACAGCUUCAUUUUUUGGCUGAUAACCUCUUAGCCUCUCUCUACUGUGGCAAGUUGGUCUCUUGAACCUUCCUCAAAUGAAAGGAUGAGUACCAGGAAUUAUUCAAAUGCACUUCCAAAAAGAGGUUGCGGGGUUUAACCCGAAUCAUUGGUCAGUUAAAUCCCUUCAAAUUUGGUUUAGAAAGAAGCUUCGAUAAUGGAUUUGCUGCUUUCAUUUGGAAAUGAAAAGCUUGAAAAAGAAUGUAGUUUUUUCCCAUGACAGUGGCCCCAUGGAGGGUUAAUACUAUGGAUUAGAUUCUGAAGA